CUGACUUAACCCAAUACACAGCAGCAGCUUUCCUUUCUUCUUAAGUCAACCUAAGACACAACAGCAGUAAAAGGAAAAAAAAGAGAGAGGGAAAAGGGAUAGUGGAGAGAAAGAGAGAACCGAGGGGGAAGAAGAGAAGAGGAAGGUUGCACUGGUGCCACUGGGUCCUGCCACCGCCGCCUCGAUGUUGUCGUCCUCACGAGCCGCCACCGCCGGCCUGGAGCCCGCCGCUCGUGUUCCACGGCAUCGUCAUCUUGCCGCGGGACUUGGUGCCGCCGCUGCCAUCGCGUUGUUUGGAGAGGAAGAGUCGCGCCUGAGAAAGGGAGAACCAGGAGGAGCGUCGCGCAAGAGGGAGGUGAUACCUUGUUGUCGCGGUGCUUCCAUGGCCACCGACGCGCCGCUGCACUUCAUCGUUACCGCUGAAGCCUUCAUCACCAUAGACACAGUCAACACUGAUUAGGGCAGAGGAGAGUGAAAAGCAUGAGGGAUGCACGGAAGACAGAGGAGCAAAAAUGCGACAAAGGGGAGAAGGACGAGGUCCGCUCUCAUGCCGUCCUGCUCCGCCACCGCUGCUGCCAUCAAUUAGAUUGAAACCGUUGUUGUUGCACCCUGUUCUGUUGAUUGAGCCGAUGUUGGAGUUAUUGUUUCGGUUCCAAUAUCUCCGUUCUUGAAACGAACCAUCAUAGGGGAUAAUGUUGAUGCCAUCAGGAAACUGCUAAAGCUGCUGCUAGUUCUGACUUUGCUAUCUUGGGUUGUAAUUGCUAUUAAUUCCUAUCCAAUCUGAAUCUUUUAUUUUGCUGCAACCAUGGCCACUGCGGUGAAGGUUAACAUUACCGCUACCGCUGUUUCGGUUGCUGCCAUUGCCGUUUUAAUUGCGUGAGAGUCGCAUCUGCUGCCAUGAAUUAGUAGGAGAGGGAAUUAUCACGAUUAAAUUUGUGCGAACUCGGUUAAUUGAGGUAGGGUUUUUCUUAUAAUCUAAUUUAUAUUACAGAGUUGUGAUAACUAGAUAUUAAUGUGAGAGAACAUAUGUCUGUGAUUAUGAUUGUCUUCUAAAUGUGGUUGUUUGCUGGACUGAAUGACUGAUUGCUUGAUUGCUUGAGUAGUUUGUGAUUGCUGAAAAGAAAUUAGUUUGAAAGGUUAUUUAGUUGAUUAUUAUGAAAAAUAGCUUUUCUUGGUUUUGAAGCUAUUUUCGAUAAUGUAAAGGAAUUAGCUUUGGAAA